rnacentral:rRNA from 1 species
GUGGGGAAUCUUAGACAAUGGGCGCAAGCCUGAUCUAGCCAUGCCGCGUGAUCGAUGAAGGCCUUAGGGUUGUAAAGAUCUUUCAGUGGGGAAGAUAAUGACUGUAGCCGGAGAAGAAGCCCCGGCUAACUUCGUGCCAGCAGCCGCGGUAAUACGAAGGGGGCUAGCGUUGCUCGGAUUUACUGGGCGUAAAGGGCGCGUAGGCGGACAUUUAAGUCAGGGGUGAAAUCCCGGGGCUCAACCUCGGAACUGCCUUUGAUACUGGGUGUCUUGAGUAUGAGAGAGGUGUGUGGAACUCCGAGUGUAGAGGUGAAAUUCGUAGAUAUUCGGAAGAACACCAGUGGCGAAGGCGACACACUGGCUCAUUACUGACGCUGAGGCGCGAAAGCGUGGGGAGCAAACAGGAUUAGAAACCCUGGUAGUCC